UACAGAGGCCCCAAGCGUUACUGAGAAUCACUGGGUUUAAAGGGUGCGUAGGUGGCGCGUUAAGUCCGUUGUGAAAUCCCUGGGCUCAACCCAGGAAAUGCUUCGGAUACUGGCGUGCUUGAGGCUAGUAGGGGUCACUGGAACUGACGGUGGAGCGGUGAAAUGCGUAGAUAUCGGGAGGAACACCUGUGGCGAAGGCGGUUCUCUGGGCCUGUACUGACGCUGAGGAGCGAAAGCGUGGGGAGCGAACAGG
rnacentral:rRNA from 1 species